CCAGACUGGGCUGCUGGGUCUGGCCUGUGCACCCCCUCAGGCCCACUCUGCCAUGACAUGUCUUCCCUGGUUAUCCCGCCACCUCCAAGAUCCCAGGUAAGGUCUCCACGUUCCAGCCUCAACUCCUGCCCUCCCUGGGGAGAAGACAGCUCCGUGCCGCGCUCCUCGCUUCUCUGCCUCCUCUCCUCCUUGGAAUCCUGAUGGUUGGGGACCUCUCCCUCCUCCCGGGGAUAACAGGGUCCCCUCUGAAAUGUGAGGAGGUUGAGGCCCUGGACACAGCCUUUUAGAGUCCCGGGUUGGCAGGCUCAGCCUUAAGACGGCUGAGAGCGGGCGGGGCGCACAGAAUUAACCGUGCCCUAUGGUGCCCUGUGCCAGUCAGUAAAGGGCCAUUGCCUUGGCUCAGAAGUGCCCCUCUCCCUGUCCCCUUUCCCCUCCCCACAGUCUGGGGCUAAAGGGUUCACCCUGCCCACAGGGCCCACCAGGACCCCUACUUGUCAUCCUUUCUCUAUUGAUGCCUGGUCUUUACCAGCGAUUAAACAUGUAGAACAUCACCCCAUCUGGGGGUGUCAUUUCAUG
rnacentral:lncRNA from 1 species